rnacentral:lncRNA from 1 species
CACUUGUCACUAACAUUGGCUACCCACAUUAAAGUAGAAUAAGGACCUUGGUGGACUUCCACCUCUGCCGUUUCUCACAUGUUCACAAAUACUGGGGAGCCCUUAGAAGUGUUUCAACUAAGCUUGGAGUUUGUCCUCUAAGGUUCUUCUAUACCAGUCUCUUUGUCAGUGUCAACAGGGACCAGACAGCACGCUCAUUUAGAUCCCUGGACCCAAUCAUC